UUCCGGGAGAAAUGUCACUGUGUUCCUCGAGAAUUCGUUACACUUCUCAAGCGUCAGUCGAAAAGAGACAUGUCUAUGUGGUUACGCCAGCAAAUCUUAUCUGAAGUGCCAAAAAUAACAGCAAACAUUCUUCAUCUGUUUAAUAAUCCAUGCGACCACAAAUAUACGAAGAAACGUAAAUCUCAAAUGCUUACUGAGAAGAUAAAAGGAAAAUAGGACCAAUUUUGCAUCCAGCGAGUGCCCCCACCACCGCGUACGUCGUGCAGAUAGACAGUGAUUAAAGCGGACGUACGUCAGAGCGGUCCUGCGUCGUGCGUGCUUGAUAUUGAAUAAAUAGACUUGCUGUACAGCAGAUUUAACACUUUCAAGAUUUAUUGAAUGAUAUAAGUUCCACUUAUUCUCUCCACGCUUGAUGCGCGCACGAUAGUCUGUAUGCUGCAUCCAGCACCGCGGCCUUGAGCUGACGUACAGCCGAGAUGGAUCGUGAAUAAAGCGCUUUAGUGUCGUCACACGCUCGCUGUAUUCAUUCCACUCGUCGUAGCCUAUUUUAGUUCAGUCGAACACGGCCACUCGGAUCGAUGACACGUACACAAUCAACCGAUUCAAUAAAACCACUGUGAUUUAAACGUUCCGCUUAUUUCUGUCUCAAUAACAUCAAAAUACACGUUCUAAAGGAAGACGAAUUGCAUGUUAUAAUGAAGCACAGAAAUCUUUUAAGAGUGAAGAUUAAGAUAUAGAAGAGAAGAAGUGAUGUACACGCAUCAAAAGACUAAGCCAGUUCUUAAGUUCGGGAGACAAACACUUUGUUCAAGGACUAUGUACUUACACAAUAUGGUCACGAAUGACUAACUACCACGAUGAAGAAAUAACAACGCGUAAUGAAAAUCAAACGUGAACUAAUUAAUUUAUGCGUAAUUAUUAAGCAAUUGAUAUAAAAGCCCAGACAUAACUUGACGAUGAAUGAAUAUAACCGUGUAAUAGAAUUAAAACCACAGAAGUCGUAGACGAAGAAAUCGUAAUUAUUUGUGGUUUGGCGUAUUGUACCUAAUCCCGUACGAGUAGUUACAAAAAUGCUGCUAAUUCGUGUGUAAAUUUAUUAUUGUAACUAAUAAUGUACACUGAAGUAAUGUUUCGGUGUGCGUAGCGUCAUUCAUGCUGUGAUUUCUAAGGAAUCAUUAACCUUUGAACAUUAAAAUUAACAGGUAAAGCGAACAAAAAAUCGAGAUAGCAAUUGGCGUUUUGAGGAAAUCUUAGUGCAUCCGCCUUUGCGUGCUGUGUCCUAGUUACGAUUAAGGAAAAAGAAAAAAAAUCUAAUUUACGAGAUAACCUUUUUAAUUUGCUUUUAAAAGCCUCUCCGGUGUUAGUCCUGUUUCAAAUUACAAUUUUUGUUCAAUUACAAGUUUUGUUUUUCAACGAUCUAAGUAUUAUCUAUAUGACACACGAUAUUGAUACAGUAUGAAUGGGUUGAUAAUAAUAAAUUAAAACUUUCCGUCAUGUAUUCGUUCACGUAUCUAUCAUGUGUAUUUAAUUAAAUUAAACUAACUAAAUGAAUAUUUAUGAAGUCUAUACUAAUAUUAUAAAGAGGAAAGAUUUGUUUGUUUGUUUGUUUCGAAUAGGCUCCGAAACUACUGGACCGAUUUGAAAAAUUAUUUUUCCAUUAGAAGCCGACAUUGUCCCUGAUGAACAUAGGCUAUUUUUUUUUAAUUUUAAUUUUUUUUUGUUUCAUGUUUGUUUUAAUGUUAAGGAAGCGAAGCGAGGGCGGGUCGCUAGUUAAUAAAUAAAAAGUUUCCGUGUAAUAAUGUUUACGAGCCAGUACAAGCGUACACACCUGGCAUGUGGCAACAAGCUUAAACGUUAAGUACCUAAUUAUUGUGAAUUUAAUGAAUCACCUGAUAAUAAAUGAUACGAAAUUAAAAACGGAAUAUUAAUGAACAGUUUUUUAACAUUCUCGAUUGGGUAAAAGUUAGCUCAUAUUUGUAUGAAAUGGGAUCGUUUGCCUACGUUUGCCGUUAGGGGCGCUGUUCCAACUGCAUCCAAAUUGGGUUAACUUUCACGCUAUUGAGAAUGUUAAAAAGCUCGCACUAAGCACACAGCUAGUGCCUACUGAGGUAGUUUUCCAAUUACAGAGCAUAAUGCGACUCAGUGACGCACAAUGCCGAAUUAUGCUGAAGCUUAAUUGGAACGUGAAUUAGUUUUCAAAUGCAUCAGCAGAGUGCGCUAAGUUAGCACAGUUUUAAUUAACAUUGAUUAUUUCUGAGAAACUACGACGAAACGAAAGCCUUACAAUUUUUUUCAACAUUAAAUAAUAUUACUAACGAUAAUAUAAACAAAAUUUCGAUUAAUGCCAACUUAAAGAAAAAACACUUGUCAAUUUUCUGUCACUGAGUCGGUAUCGAUUGCGAGUAUCACGCGAGAGCAGUACUUUUGAGAGUGCUCGAUUGUGCUUCGAGUUGCUGUAGUUGGAACAUUCAACGUUGAGCAUUAUGCCGCAUAAUGCGCUCUUGUGCUGUAAUUGGAAAACAACCUGAGUUACGUUUGCCAACGUAAAGGCAGUUUAGGAAGCCGACACAUCACUUCCUGUGAUUGUUGGUUUAAAAAAAAAACACUUUUUUUAGUCUGUGCUAGCGUUUAUUCAAUUCAAUGUUCACAAUACAAUGUACACUUAUAUACUACUUGUUUUUAUGAGGAACAUGACGUAUCUUAAAAGUUUGUUCGAGUGACUAGCAUUUUCGCGAGCUGAGGAGAAAUAAAAGAAGUCACCAGAGUCACCACACUUUUUUCUUUUUCUUGCUUGAUUUUUUUUACAGUGGACUUUUUGGAGGAAGCCGAGAAGUUACCUCCAGCGGCUUUGAUUCAUUUUCCCACAUUUGUGCACUUUUACAGAUAUUAAACAGUUAAUAAACCACUGUUAUUACACAUUUAAACCUGAAGAAACACUAAAUAGACAAAAUAAAACAAAUCACACAAGUUCACUCCUUGCGUUCCCGUCAAAAAGUCUUUUCUUGCAUGUUAACUGGAUGUGUCCACAGAUAUCAGUAACGUAAAUACCACCAUCUAACUUGAGGCAUGAAUUCUAUGUCUCAGUUUUCAGAGUACACCGGCUGCCCCGCCCUUCAAAUCGAAACGCAUUACUGCUUCACGGCAAAAAUAGGCAAGGUGAUGGUACCUUCUUGCGACUCACAAGACGGCCUCAGGACCCUCUAUUGUAAUGCUUCAUUUGAAACAUAAGUGAAUGAAGUAUCGCGACAUAUUAAGUGUAAUACUUUAAAGCUGUCAUUACUCGUAUAGCUUUACCACACAUUUUCAAUUUCGAUUAAGCUUUUUUUUUUGCCACAUACCAUCCGGCUAUGGAAUGAGCUCCCCUCCACGGUGUUUCCCGAGCGCUAUAACAUGUCCUUCUUCAAACGAGGCUUGUGGAAAUUAUUAAGCGGUAGGCAGCGGCUUGGCACUGCGCCUGGCAUUGCUGAAGUCCAUGGGCGACGGUAACCACUCACCAUCAGGUGGGACCUUCAAUAAUCAAGAAUGGUCCUUCCAGCAAGACUCGGCGCCAGGUCAUAAAGCUCGGUCUGCGCAGUCUUGGUUGGAAACGAACGUUUCGGACUUCAUCAGAGCUGAAGACUGGCCGUCGUCUAGUCCCGAUAUUAAUCCGCUGGAUUAUGAUUUAUGGUCAGUUUUAGAGAGUACGGCUUGCUCUAAACGCCAUGAUAAUUUGGAGUCCCUAAAACAAUCCGUACGAUUGGCAGUGAAAAAUUUUCCCAUGGAAAGAGUGCGUGCUUGUAUUGAUAACUGGCCUCAACGUUUAAAGGACUGUAUUACAGCCAAUGGAGACGACUUCGAAUAAGCUUUUUAUACUUUAAAUUGUUUUAUAUUUAUGUAUUAAACUAACACACUGUAAAAGUAAUAAAUGUUAUUGGCAAUAUAA